rnacentral:sRNA from 1 species
AGUAGAUUCUGCUGCGUAGUAUAAAGUGCAGACAUGAUCUGGCGACUAGCUUACCUGGUACACUGUACCUCUAAAUCAGAAGUACCACACCAUGGAGCAAAAGUCAGACACUGAAUUCUGAAGUAGCUUCAGGAGCCAGAAGCUGUGAAUGGACUUAUCACACAUACAGUAAACUUCACUACUUAAUCCAAGGUUCAAAAUACAAAUGGCAGUGCUGAUCUCCAACAUCACAGUUGAGUAAACAUGGGGGUGGACUCCUCCCAAGAGUUAAGCAGGAAUUGAUCAAAGAGAGCACUGGAGCCCUGGAGCCCUGGAACAUCUCAUGUUGCAAACCCUGGAGAAUCUUUGACCACUGCAUUCUUCUCUUCUUCAAGGAGCUCUGAGACCCCCAGUGUCUCAAGGUCUGGUCUCUGGGAAUCUCAAUGGGACCUCCAGAAAUGUUCUAGAGUAUCUACCAGAGAAGAAUGACUUACACAUGGAUUUAAGCCAAAUAGAAGUCGUUGUUAGUCAGCCAUUGACUACAGUGGGUAUUCAAGAUCCCAGUGCAGCCUUAAGCCUUGCUCAAGGUAAGAUUUUUAAGCACAAAAGCAUUCUGGCUUGAUAUACCUCAGUUAACAAGAACAGUUAGCCCGAAAUGGAAGCCAAAAGACAAUGUACAUUUAGAGUCUUUCCCAGAACUAUGGCCUUUGAUGAAUUAGUCCUUUGUUUUCACUUCAGCAGGUGGGGCUGUCUGUGCUGUCCAUUUUGUGGCCUGAAUGGACCUUCCACCAUGGAGUCUGUUGUACAAAGGUCUGGGUGUCUAUUAAGGUCCGGGCCAUGUUAUACUGAAUGUCAAGUUUCUAUCAUUUAUGUUCCCAUUUGCUCAAUGUAGGACUCCUCACUAGCACUCACAAAAUAUAGAAAUCUCCAAAGAGGAUAACAAUCAACGUCUCAAUGAAAACACUGUUCUGGGAUGGAAAGAUGGCUUAGUGGUUAAGAGUGCAUUCUGCUCCUGUAGAAGAUAGAUAUUCAAUUGCAAGAAUUUAUAUUGGGUUGCUCACGACUACCUAUAACUCCAAUUUCAAGGUAUCCAACAUCUUUGGUCUCCUUAGAUACCAGUACU